UCAGAUGGUCGGAUGGUCGCUGUUUAGGCAGAGGAAAGUCCGGGCUCUUGAAAAUCACGGUGCCGGAUAACGUCCGGCGAGGGUGACCUUAGGGAAAGUGCCACAGAAAACAAACCGCCAUCAUAUGAUGGUAAGGGUGAAACGGUGCGGUAAGAGCGCACCGCAAUGCCGGCAACGGGAUUGGCAGGGUAAACCCCACCGGGAGCAAGACCAGAUAGGAACAUAUUGCCGUAUGGCAAAGGGUGAUUUUCCCCUAUGUUCGGGUAGGUUGCUUGAGGCGCGAAGGUAACUUCCGUCCCAGAUGAAUGGCCAUCCCGCCAAUUGCGGCGGACAGAACCCGGCUUAUAGACCAUCUGACCUA
rnacentral:RNase_P_RNA from 1 species